rnacentral:rRNA from 1 species
AACGCUGGCGGCGUGCUUAAUACAUGCAAGUCGAGCGAGGUUACUGUUUCGGAUCCCUUCGGGGUGAAGAAGCUUUAACCUAGCGGCGGACGGGUGAGUAACGCGUGGGUAACCUACCCCAAAGUCCGGGAUAACAGCGGGAAACCGCUGCUAAUACCGGAUGCCUUUACCUUGGGGCAUCUUGAGGUAAAGAAAGGCAACGCUUUGGGAUGGGCCCGCGUCCCAUUAGCUAGUUGGUGAGGUAACGGCUCACCAAGGCGACGAUGGGUAGCCGGCCUGAGAGGGUGGACGGCCACACUGGGACUGAGACACGGCCCAGACUCCUACGGGAGGCAGCAGUAGGGAAUAUUGCGCAAUGGACGGAAGUCUGACGCAGCGACGCCGCGUGAGCGAUGAAGGUCUUCGGAUCGUAAAGCUCUGUCCUUGGGGAAGAAGGCGAAAGCUUGACGGUACCCAAGAAGAAAGCCCCGGCUAACUACGUG